UUUUCCAGAUGGGAUUAACAUUGUACUUGCCAAUUGUUUGUAUCAGCAAUCUUGUCCUUUCUUGGUGAUAUCGGUACGCGCAAGAAUUAUCAUCUACCCACCAUCUAUCCGAGGAGGUAAUUGCAUUUUGCCUUCCCUACAAAUUUGCGUAGAAAUCAAUUUGUUCCAUAUGAGAAUUAUGGUCCUUCUGCAAUGUUCUAUAUGUCUUCCCUACUAAUUUAAUUACCUACAAUAUUGCAAAUGGAUCUUCUAUCAUGUUUCAUAUGUCUUUCCCUACUAAUUCAAUUGCCUACAAACUAUGGCUUAGCUCACAGAGACCAUCUGCCAUGUGUUUAUUGAACAUUCUACUUGCUCCCUUGACCUCUUUUGGUCAUACCAUAGGGUGGUUUUUGUACUGGUCCUCUUGGACCUUAAAUUCCCCUCUUCUUAUUACAAAGAUGCGCAGCUCUCCUGCGUUUUUCGAGGGAGAAAAAAUGGUUCAUGACGGCUUCUCUGUACGUUAUUUGCCUUCCCUACUAAUACAACUGCCUAUAAAUUUGCAUAGAAAUUAAUUUAUUUAAUAUGCAAAUAGUUCUUGCAAUGACUAGGACUACUCUUACUAAUUUAUUAUGUUCUGGAGAACACCAAACCACAUAAGCUAAGGAUUAGCUCACAGAGAUCUUCAGUCAUGUGUUUAUUGAACCUUCUACUUACUCACCUGACUUCUCUUUGCCAUACUGACCCAUCGUGUCUUGUAAAAAUAAGUUUACAGCCUACCAAAAAAUAUGUUCAUAUCAUGUAGAUGCAUAAUGCAGUAUUUUCAUCUGUGAAUUUGAGAACGCAAUUGAAAAGUAAUUUAGUGUUUGCCAUUUAUAUAUAUAUAUAUAUAUAUAUAUAUAUAUAUAUAUAUAUAUAUAUAUAUAUAUAUAUAUAUAUAUAUAUAUAUAUAUAUAUAUAUAUAUAUAUAUAUAUAUAUCCUACAAUAGAGUGCUUUAUGCAGCCAUCGUAACCAUGAAGUAGUAUUCUUUUCUUUCAUUUCUCUGAAUACUGUCAUUAAUUCCUAGAGAGUAUUUCUUUAAAAAGUAAUAAUCAGAUACUUCUAGUUGGUUUGAGAGGGAUUGUAUCAGUUCUCUUCUUUUUUUGUCCUUUCUAUUUCCCAUAUCAUGUUAAUGCCUGAUUGUUUUGAUGUACUCGGUUCAUUAAAUUAAAGGAAUUUAGGUUCAAAGAACAUUCGUUAAGCAGUGGCCAUAUUAGUUAUGCAUUGAGCUUCUUUGUUCAAUAAACUACAUAAUACACCAACUGUAAAGUACACAGCUAAAUUAGGUAACCAUAGAUGUACAUACAUAGAAGCAUAAACAUACAAUUACAUGUACACACAUAGAGAGUGUAUGUCUCAGAUUUUUUCCCCUAGAGAUAACAUAAGAGAUUAGUGCCACUAUAUUUCCUAUAUACAAACAUAUCUGGAUAUAUACACAUAUAUAUAUUGUCUAUAUCGAUUGUCUAGUACGAAUAACAUACAAGAAGCAAAGUAAGUAUCUUCGUACAAUCAUAAAUAAACAUCGCUUUAUUUCAAUUCAUUUCAAUUCCACAUGUUCCCAUAAUUAUAUAGCUAUGUACUCUUCUUUUAGCAAAAAAAGUAGUGUUCAUUUGGCCCAGACCACAUUUUUUUAAUCCUAAACAUUUUAGAUUUGCCAUACGUGCAAUCGAUCUUAUAUGACGUACAUAAACAUUUACACACAACACUUUUAAAAAUAAGAGAGAUCAUUCUAGAUUUUUUUUGGUUUGUUUGAAAUAUGGCCAAUCCAUAUCAAUCUUGUGUACAAGACUAUCCUAUGUUUCAUAUAGAAGGAAGAAUCUUUGAGAGGGCAGAUAGAGGGAUUUAGGCUAUCUUCAACAACUUUUUUAUUUUCAAUUUCAAUUUGUAAAUAGUGUUAUGUACAGUGUUAUUUACAUUGACGUGUGUCCCUGUUUUACACUAAAAAACAGCCUUAUUAAAUAGAAACACCGCAUUGGGUUGCAAGCUCACAUGCGAGUCGGGAAGAGGCCUACUGGUCAGCGACACAGCGCCAUCAGACAGGAUUUGGCAGUGGAGAACGUGUGAAAACAAAGACCGACACGCGAGGUCAAAGUCGUCGUCUCGCUCGAGGCCGACCACCACCACCUUGUUUUUACCCAGCCCACAUUAUUAAUUAACGGAACGUACAGUACCAGUCUCACACUCUCACUCUCCUCUG
rnacentral:lncRNA from 1 species